AGUCCACUUUAUCCCCUUUCCCCUUUUCAUAGUUGCUUUUUAUGUUUUGAAACGAAACUUGAAAGCCCUGAUUUCCCACAAACCCCUGAAAGUUUCCACGAAUGUUGGAAUAAAUGUUGUUGUGAUGAACAAAAAGAUCGAGUAAUUAUCAGAUUAGACAGGUGUAGCCAACCAACCUUCCUUCAAAGCGCUGAGAUUGACUUGCAUAUUAUUCACGAACUAUGAAUGGCAUUUGGAUUUCAAGGCUGAGAUGGUGCCCCAUGAUGUGAUAGUUUCUCUUUGCGAUGCGGUGCGGUGGACGUGAUAUUUACCUGACCUUUCAAACAAUCAAUACAAUUUGUGCUUCAUUCUGGUUCUGCUCUUAUUCAUCAGUCCAAACUUAACCUUCUUUCGUUCAAGAGGACAAAAUGUCGUCAAGCCGGCCAAUCAUAAUCUGCAUGUGUUUGAGCACGUUCCUGAUUAUGGCUAUUGAAGGUGUUAUCGCUCAUGAAAGUAAGGCUUCACUUUGGGAAAAGGCCAAGACUUUUCUUGGAUGGACCACAACUCCUCAUCCGCCAACGCCUACUCCUCGUACCAAAACAUUCAAACCUUCGCUGGAUAGGGCCAGCUUUUACGAUGAAAUGGCCAUGUUGGGAGCUUAUCAAGACUUCUAUGGUACAAUGGACGAAGAUAAUAACAAAAACAAGGAAUUGAAAAAAUGAUAUGUCAUUAGAUGUAAUAUUGUCAAUAAUCCAUCGUUGAAAUGGAACUCGAUUUCCA